rnacentral:ncRNA from 1 species
AAAAAAUUAUGAUUUAAUUUGGGAAUUAGGUUAAUUUACUUUGUUUUUUAUACUUAAAUUGGUCUAUAAGAAGUUAUAAAUUAGUAGUGAUUAAUAUUAUUAGUCUGCGAAUGGCGGAAUGUAGCAAUAGUUUAAUAAUCCAACUAAUAUUUGUGCCAGCAGUUGCGGUUAUACAAGAGGAUUUACUUAAUUUUUAUAGUUAAUUAGUUAACUAAUUAAAUAAAUUUUUAAUAUUAUAUUUAAAGGUGAAAUUUCAAUAUAGGGUUUAUGUUUUUUGAUUAAGUGAUCUAGGAAAAUUUUAUUUAUAAACCAGGAUUAGAUACCCUGCUAUAAAAAUUGUAAUUAAAAUAACUGGAUUAGUAUUAGUUAAGUGCUUGAAAAUUAAAUAUCUUGGCGGUACUUUAACCUAUCAGAGGAACCUGCCCUGUAAUUGAUAGUUCACAAUUUAUUAUACUUUAAUAAUUGCUUGUAUAUCGUUGUUGUAAUGAAUAUUUUUAAAAAAAUUAAUUUUCUUUAAAUAAAAUUUUAUUUUAUCUCAAAUCAAGGUGCAGCUUUUUAAAGAAGAGGUGGGUUACAUUAAUAAUUUUAUAGUUGAAAAUUUUAUUUUGUUAGGAUUUGGUAGUAAUAUUAUUUAUUAAAAUUUUAUGAAUCAGGCUCUGAAGUAUGUACAUAUCGCCCGUCGCUUUCAUAAUUAUUUGAAAUAAGUCGUAACAUAGUGGAUUUAUCGGAAGAUGGCUCUAGAAUGGC